GGCGCCAACUAGUGAUACAAACCCUAAAUUAUAUAUAUGUAUAAUCAAGUGGCGCCAUCCUCUCUCUCUUGAGGCGCCAACUUGAUUUAUAUGUAUAUAAUCUAAGUAAGAAACCUCUUUCCUUGGCAUGCAUGAAGCAACUGGCGCAACUUCAGUUAACCAUGGUUAGUUAGUGAGAAGUCUAUAAAUACUUGAAAUGUGGGUUCAUUAUUCACACACACUCCUUCACCACCUUUAUGGUGGAAUGGCUUUGUGCCUUUGCACACUACUACACACAAAUAAACUCUAGCUUAGUUUUGUAUUAUAUAUAUAUAUUUAGAAGCUAGGGUUU
rnacentral:lncRNA from 1 species